rnacentral:rRNA from 1 species
ACUCCAUGAAACUGGAUUCGCUAGUAAUCGCGCAUCAGCCACGGCGCGGUGAAUACGUUCCCGGGCCUUGUACACACCGCCCGUCAAGCCAUGGAAGCCGGGAGUGCCUGAAGUGCGUGAGCGCAAGCAGCGCCCUAAGGUAAAACCGGUGACUGGGGCUAAGUCGUAACAAGGUAUC